rnacentral:rRNA from 1 species
GGGACGAACGCUGGCGGCGUGCUUAACACAUGCAAGUCGAGCGGUAAGGCCUUUCGGGGUACGCGAGCGGCGAACGGGUGAGUAACACGUGGGUGAUCUGCCCUGCACUUCGGGAUAAGCCUGGGAAACUGGGUCUAAUACCGGAUAUGACCUCCUAUCGCAUGGUGGGUGGUGGAAAGAUUUAUCGGUGCAGGAUGGGCCCGCGGCCUAUCAGCUUGUUGGUGGGGUAAUGGCCUACCAAGGCGACGACGGGUAGCCGACCUGAGAGGGUGACCGGCCACACUGGGACUGAGACACGGCCCAGACUCCUACGGGAGGCAGCAGUGGGGAAUAUUGCACAAUGGGCGAAAGCCUGAUGCAGCGACGCCGCGUGAGGGAUGACGGCCUGGGUUGUAAACCUCUUUCAGCAGGGACGAAGCGCGAAGUGACGGUACCUGCAGAAGAAGCACCGCUAACUACGUGCCAGCAGCCGC